rnacentral:pre_miRNA from 1 species
AAAAAGUCAAACAUUAUGUUUUCGUAUCCAACUUUGACUGUCCGUUUUAUAUAAUUUUUUUUUAUAAUUCGUAUUUUAUUGUUGUUAGAUGAUAAAACAUGAUUAAUACUUUGUGCGUGACUUGUCUUUUUAAAUUUUUUUAUAAUAUUUUUAAAUAAAAUAGACGCUUAACGGAAACUAGGG